UAGGCUGAAAUUCGCCUGCAUGAAGCCGGAAUUGCUAGUAAUGGCAGGUCAGCAUACUGCCGUGAAUACGUUCCCGGGCCUUGUACACACCGCCCGUCACACCAUGAGAGUUGGGGAUACCCAAAGCCCGUGAGCCAACUUUAAAAGAGGCAGCGGUCUAAGGUAGAAUCAAUGAUUGGGGUGAAGUCGUAACAAGGUACC
rnacentral:rRNA from 1 species